AGAAUCAACGCUGGCGGCGUGCCUAACACAUGCAAGUCGAACGAGAAAGUGGAGCAAUCCACGAGUAAAGCGGCGCACGGGUGAGUAACACGUGACUAACCUACCCUUGAGUGGGGGAUAACCUAGGGAAACCUGGGCUAAUACCGCAUAAUACCUACGGGUCAAAGGAGCAAUUCGCUUAAGCGAGGGGUCGCGGCCGAUUAGUUAGUUGGCGGGGUAAUGGCCCACCAAGACUGUGAUCGGUAU
rnacentral:rRNA from 1 species